rnacentral:rRNA from 1 species
AUUGAACGCCGGCGGCAUGCCUUACACAUGCAAGUCGAACGGCAGCACGGGGCAACCUGGUGGCGAGUGGCGAACGGGCGAGUAAUGCAUCGGAACGUACCUUUCAGUGGGGGAAAACGUAGCGAAAGUUAAGCUAAUACCGCAUAUUCUGUGAGCAGGAAAGAAGGGGAUCGCAAGACCUUGCGCUGAUUGAGCGGCCGAUGUCAGAUUAGCUAGUUGGGGAGGUAAAGGCCCACCAAGGCGACGAUCUGUAGCGGGUCUGAGAGGAUGACCCGCCACACUGGAACGGAGACACGGUCCAGACUCCUACGGGAGGCAGCAGUGGGGAAUUUUGGACAAUGGGGGCAACCCUGAUCCAGCCAUGCCGCGUGAGUGAAGAAGGCCUUCGGGUUGUAAAGCUCUUUCGGCCGGGAAGAAAUCGCACGGGCUAAUACCCUGUGUGGAUGACGGUACCGGAAUAAGAAGCACCGGCUAACUACGUGCCAGCCGCCGCGGUAACAC